UGAGAGUGGAGUGGAGUGGCUAACGCUAACGCUAACUCUGGGCUGAGAGUGGAGUGGCGUGGCUAACGCUAACGCUAACUCUGGGCUGAAAGUGGAGUGGAGUGGAGUGGCUAACGCUAACGCUAACACUGGGCUGAGAGUGGAGUGGAGUGGCUAACGCUAACUCUGGGCUGAGAGUGGAGUGGAGUGGCUAACGCUAACGCUAACUCUGGGCUGAGAGUGGAGUGGCUAACGCUAACUCUGGGCUGAGAGUGGAGUGGAGUGGCUAACUCUGCUAACUCUGGGCUGAGAGUGGAGUGGAGUGGCUAAUGCUAACUCUGUGCUGAGAGUGGAGUGGAGUGGCUAACGCUAACUCUGGGCUGAGAGUGGAGUGGAGUGGCUAACGCUAACGCUAACUCUGGGCUGAGAGUGGAGUGGAGUGGCUAACUCUGGGCUGAGAGUGGAGUGGAGUGGCUAACGCUAACGCUAACUCUGGGCUGAGAGUGGAGUGGAGUGGCGUGGCUAACGCUAACUCUGGGCUGAGAGUGGAGUGGAGUGGAGUGGCUAACGCUAACGCUAACUCUGGGCUGAGAGUGGAGUGGAGUGGCGUGGCUAACGCUAACUCUGGGCUGAGAGUGGAGUGGAGUGGCUAACGCUAACUCUGGGCUGAGAGUGGAGUGGAGUGGAGUGGCUAAGGCUAACUCUGGGCUGAGAGUGGAGUGGAGUGGAGUGGCUAACGCUAACUCUGGGCUGAGAGUGGAGUGGAGUGGAGUGGCUAACGCUAACUCUGGGCUGAGAGUGGAGUGGAGGGGAGUGGCUAACGCUAACUCUGUGCUGAGAGUGGAGUGGAGUGGCUAAUGCUAACUCUUGGAGUGGAGUGGAGUGGCUAACGCUAACUCUGGGCUGAGAGUGGAGUGGAGUGGCUAACGCUAACUCUGUGCUGAGAGUGGAGUGGAGUGGCUAACGCUAACGCUAACUCUGGGCUGAGAGUGGAGUGGAGUGAAGUGGAGUGGAGUGGCUAACGCUAACUCUGGGCUGAGAGUGGAGUGGAGUGGAGUGGCUAACGCUAACGCUAACUCUGGGCUGAGAGUGGAGUGGAGUGGCGUGGCUAACGCUAACUCUGGGCUGAGAGUGGAGUGGAGUGGCGUGGCUAACGCUAACUCUGGGCUGAGAGUGGAGUGGAGUGGAGUGGCUAACGCUAACGCUAACACUAACUCUGGGCUGAGAGUGGAGUGGCUAACGCUAACGCUAAUUCUGGGCUGAGAGUGGAGUGGAGUGGAGUGGCUAACGCUAACUCUGGGCUGAGAGUGGAGUGGAGUGGCUAACGCUAACUCUGUGCUGAGAGUGGAGUGGAGUGGCUAACGCUAACGCUAACUCUGGGCUGAGAGUGGAGUGGAGUGAAGUGGAGUGGAGUGGCUAACGCUAACUCUGGGCUGAGAGUGGAGUGGAGUGGAGUGGAGUGGCUAACGCUAACUCUGGGCUGAGAGUGGAGUGGAGUGGCGUGGCUAACGCUAACUCUGGGCUGAGAGUGGAGUGGAGUGGAGUGGCUAACGCUAACUCUGGGCUGAGAGUGGAGUGGCUAACGCUAACGCUAAUUCUGGGCUGAGAGUGGAGUGGAGUGGAGUGGCUAACGCUAACUCUGGGCUGAGAGUGGAGUGGCUAACGCUAACGCUAACUCUGGGCUGAGAGUGGAGUGGAGUGGAGUGGCUAACGCUAACGCUAACUCUGGGCUGAGAGUGGAGUGGAGUGGCUAACGCUAACGCUAACUCUGGGCUGAGAGUGGAGUGGAGUGGAGUGGAGUGGCUAACGCUAACGCUAACUCUGGGCUGAGAGUGGAGUGGCUAACGCUAACGCUAAUUCUGGGCUGAGAGUGGAGUGGAGUGGAGUGGCUAACGCUAACUCUGGGCUGAGAGUGGAGUGGAGUGGCUAACGCUAACUCUGGGCUGAGAGUGGAGUGGAGUGGAGUGGAGUGGCUAACGCUAACUCUGGGCUGAGAGUGGAGUGGAGUGGCUAACGCUAACUCUGGGCUGAGAGUGGAGUGGAGUGGAGUGGAGUGGCUAACGCUAACUCUGGGCUGAGAGUGGAGUGGAGUGGAGUGGAGUGGCUAACGCUAACUCUGGGCUGAGAGUGGAGUGGAGUGGCUAACGCUAACGCUAACUCUGGGCUGAGAGUGGAGUGGAGUGGAGUGGAGUGGAGUGGAGUGGCUAACGCUAACUCUGGGCUGAGAGUGGAGUGGAGGGGAGUGGCUAACGCUAACUCUGGGCUGAGAGUGGAGUGGAGUGGCUAACGCUAACGCUAACUCUGGGCUGAGAGUGGAGUGGAGUGGAGUGGAGUGGAGUGGAGUGGCUAACGCUAACUCUGGGCUGAGAGUGGAGUGGAGGGGAGUGGCUAACGCUAACUCUGGGCUGAGAGUGGAGUGGAGGGGAGUGGCUAACGCUAACUCUGUGCUGAGAGUGGAGUGGAGUGGCUAACGCUAACGCUAAUUCUGGGCUGAGAGUGGAGUGGAGUGGAGUGGAGUGGAGUGGCUAACGCUAACUCUGGGCUGAGAGUGGAGUGGAGUGGCUAACGCUAACGCUAACUCUGGGCUGAGAGUGGAGUGGAGUGGCGUGGCUAACGCUAACUCUGGGCUGAGAGUGGAGUGGAGUGGAGUGGCUAACGCUAACGCUAACUCUGGGCUGAGAGUGGAGUGGCUAACGCUAACGCUAAUUCUGGGCUGAGAGUGGAGUGGAGUGGCUAACGCUAACGCUAACUCUGGGCUGAGAGUGGAGUGGAGUGGCGUGGCUAACGCUAACUCUGGGCUGAGAGUGGAGUGGAGUGGAGUGGCUAACGCUAACGCUAACUCUGGGCUGAGAGUGGAGUGGCUAACGCUAACGCUAAUUCUGGGCUGAGAGUGGAGUGGAGUGGAGUGGCUAACGCUAACUCUGGGCUGAGAGUGGAGUGGAGUGGCUAACGCUAACUCUGGGCUGAGAGUGGAGUGGAGUGGCUAACGCUAACGCUAACUCUGGGCUGAGAGUGGAGUGGAGUGGAGCGGAGUGGCUAACGCUAACUCUGGGCUGAGAGUGGAGUGGAGCGGAGUGGCUAACGCUAACUCUGGGCUGAGAGUGGAGUGGAGUGGCUAACGCUAACGCUAACUCUGGGCUGAGAGUGGAGUGGAGUGGCUAACGCUAACUCUGGGCUGAGAGUGGAGUGGAGUGGCUAACGCUAACGCUAACUCUGUGCUGAGAGUGGAGUGGAGUGGCUAACGCUAACUCUGGGCUGAGAGUGGAGUGGAGUGGCUAACGCUAACGCUAACGCUAACUCUGGGCUGAGAGUGGAGUGGAGUGGCUAACGCUAACGCUAACUCUGGG
ensembl:lncRNA